AGAUUAAGUUAUUAAGGGCGCACGGUGGAUGCCUUGGCACUAGAAGCCGAUGAAGGACGUUACUAACGACGAUAUGCUUUGGGGAGCUGUAAGUAAGCUUUGAUCCAGAGAUUUCCGAAUGGGGAAACCCAGCAUGAGUUAUGUCAUGUUAUCGAUAUGUGAAUACAUAGCAUAUCAGAAGGCACACCCGGAGAACUGAAACAUCUUAGUACCCGGAGGAAGAGAAAGAAAAUUCGAUUCCCUUAGUAGCGGCGAGCGAAACGGGAAGAGCCCAAACCAACAAGCUUGCUUGUUGGGGUUGUAGGACACUCUAUACGGAGUUACAAAGGACGACAUUAGACGAAUCAUCUGGAAAGAUGAAUCAAAGAAGGUAAUAAUCCUGUAGUCGAAAAUGUUGUCUCUCUUGAGUGGAUCCUGAGUACGACGGAGCACGUGAAAUUCCGUCGGAAUCUGGGAGGACCAUCUCCUAAGGCUAAAUACUCUCUAGUGACCGAUAGUGAACCAGUACCGUGAGGGAAAGGUGAAAAGCACCCCGGAAGGGGAGUGAAAUAGAACCUGAAACCGUGUGCUUACAAGUAGUCAGAGCCCGUUAAUGGGUGAUGGCGUGCCUUUUGUAGAAUGAACCGGCGAGUUACGAUUUGAUGCAAGGUUAAGCAGUAAAUGUGGAGCCGUAGCGAAAGCGAGUCUGAAUAGGGCGUUUAGUAUUUGGUCGUAGACCCGAAACCAGGUGAUCUACCCUUGGUCAGGUUGAAGUUCAGGUAACACUGAAUGGAGGACCGAACCGACUUACGUUGAAAAGUGAGCGGAUGAACUGAGGGUAGCGGAGAAAUUCCAAUCGAACCUGGAGAUAGCUGGUUCUCUCCGAAAUAGCUUUAGGGCUAGCCUCAAGUGAUGAUUAUUGGAGGUAGAGCACUGUUUGGACGAGGGGCCCCUCUCGGGUUACCGAAUUCAGACAAACUCCGAAUGCCAAUUAAUUUAACUUGGGAGUCAGAACAUGGGUGAUAAGGUCCGUGUUCGAAAGGGAAACAGCCCAGACCACCAGCUAAGGUCCCAAAAUAUAUGUUAAGUGGAAAAGGAUGUGGCGUUGCCCAGACAACUAGGAUGUUGGCUUAGAAGCAGCCAUCAUUUAAAGAGUGCGUAAUAGCUCACUAGUCGAGUGACACUGCGCCGAAAAUGUACCGGGGCUAAACAUAUUACCGAAGCUGUGGAUUGUCCUUUGGACAAUGGUAGGAGAGCGUUCUAAGGGCGUUGAAGCAUGAUCGUAAGGACAUGUGGAGCGCUUAGAAGUGAGAAUGCCGGUGUGAGUAGCGAAAGACGGGUGAGAAUCCCGUCCACCGAUUGACUAAGGUUUCCAGAGGAAGGCUCGUCCGCUCUGGGUUAGUCGGGUCCUAAGCUGAGGCCGACAGGCGUAGGCGAUGGAUAACAGGUUGAUAUUCCUGUACCACCUAUAAUCGUUUUAAUCGAUGGGGGGACGCAGUAGGAUAGGCGAAGCGUGCGAUUGGAUUGCACGUCUAAGCAGUAAGGCUGAGUAUUAGGCAAAUCCGGUACUCGUUAAGGCUGAGCUGUGAUGGGGAGAAGACAUUGUGUCUUCGAGUCGUUGAUUUCACACUGCCGAGAAAAGCCUCUAGAUAGAAAAUAGGUGCCCGUACCGCAAACCGACAC
rnacentral:rRNA from 1 species